UUAUUCAAAAUAUUUAAAAAAUAUUAGUAAUUUUAACAUAUUUCUAUAUUCAUAUAUUAAACUAAAUUUUUUUAAAAAGAUAAUGAUGUUGGAGGUUACUUACUAUCCGACUAAAUCUUUCUGCGCUUUGCAACCAAGUGUCUACUAAUGAUCUGGUGAGACCACCUCAGAUGUCAAAGAGAGAUCCGAGAAUCUAAGAUGAAGUGGUGCUACAACAUCGGCUUUUAUCUAAUCUCCGGAUUGGAUAUUUACCGACCUCGAGAUCAGAACUCAAUCGAUGAUAGAAAACAAGCUCACUGGCUUACACGAACAUCGACACACCUAAGGUAAGGCCUUUGCUUUGUUCUGAACUCAAGUCACCGACCUAUUCAACCACGCAAGCAAUUUCUAAAAAUUUUCCAACGACUUUUGGAAUAUGGGUACGAUCUAUAGCUGAUAUUCACGACUAAUAACCCCAAUUCAUAGGUUAGUGGACAGUUUCCUAUCCUAACGGCCUAUUAGAUCAUGGUCUGGUAAGUCUUAACAGCCCACUAGAUUUCGAUGGAAUAGCCUA
rnacentral:lncRNA from 1 species